rnacentral:rRNA from 1 species
AAACUAACAAGGAUUCCCCUAGUAACGGCGAGUGAAGCGGGAUGAGCUCAAAUUUAAAAUCUGGCGGUCUCAGAUCGUCCGAGUUGUAGUCUAGAGAAGCGUUUUCCGUGCUGGCCUGUGUACAAGUCCGUUGGAACACGGCGUCAUAGAGGGUGAGAAUCCCGUCCUUGACACAGAUCUCCAGUGCUUUGUGAUGCGCUCUCAAAGAGUCGAGUUGUUUGGGAAUGCAGCUCAAAAUGGGUGGUAAAUUCCAUCUAAAGCUAAAUAUUGGCGAGAAACCGAUAGCGAACAAGUACCGUGAGGGAAAGAUGAAAAGCACUUUGGAAAGAGAGUUAAACAGUACGUGAAAUUGUUGAAAGGGAAACGAUUGAAGUCAGUCAUGCUUUCCGAGACUCAGCCGGUUCUGCCGGUGUACUUCUCGGUUUGCAGGCCAGCAUCAGUUUUGGGCGGUGGAAAAGGUUGGCGGGAAUGUGGCAUCCUCGGAUGUGUUAUAGCCCGCUUUCGAAUACAUCGCCCGGGACUGAGGAACGCAGCACGCCUCUUGUAGGUCGGUCUUCGGACACGUCCGUGCUUAGGAUGCUGGCAUAAUGGCUUUAA